CCUACGGGAGGCAGCAGUGGGGGAUAUUGCACAAUGGGGGAAACCCUGAUGCAGCGACGCCGCGUGUGGGAAGACGGUCUUCUGGAUUGUAAACCACUGUCCCCAGGGACGAAAAUGACGGUACCUGGGGAGGAAGCUCCGGCAAACUACGUGCCAGCAGUCGCGGUAAUACGUAGGGAGCAAGCGUUGUCCGGAAUUACUGGGUGAAAAGGGAGCGUAGGCGGGGAUGCAAGUUGGGUGUCAAAACUACCGGCUCAACCGAUAGUCGCACUCAAAACUGCAACUCUUGAGUGAAGUAGAGGCAGGCGGAAUUCCUAGUGUAGCGGUGAAAUGCGUAGAUAUUAGGAGGAACACCAGUGGCGAAGGCGGCCUGCUGGGCUUUUACUGACGCUGAGGCUCGAAAGUGUGGGGAGCAAACAGGAUUAGAUACCCCGGUAGUC
rnacentral:rRNA from 1 species